CAGCCGUAAACUAUGCGCGUUAGGUGUAUCAGUGACCACGAGCUACUGAGGUGCCGAAGGGAAACCGUGAAACGCGCCGCCUGGGAAGUACGGUCGCAAGGCUGAAACUUAAAGGAAUUGGCGGGGGGAGCACCACAACGGGUGGAGCCUGCGGUUUAAUUGGACUCAACGCCGGACAGCUCACCGGGUAGGACAGCGAUAUGAUAGCCGGGCUGAAGACCUUGCUUGAUCAGCUGAGAGGAGGUGCAUGGCGUCAGUGACU
rnacentral:rRNA from 1 species